UACGUAGGUCCCGAGCGUUGUCCGGAUUUAUUGGGCGUAAAGCGAGCGCAGGUGGUUUAUUAAGUCUGGUGUAAAAGGCAGUGGCUCAACCAUUGUAUGCAUUGGAAACUGGUAGACUUGAGUGCAGGAGAGGAGAGUGGAAUUCCAUGUGUAGCGGUGAAAUGCGUAGAUAUAUGGAGGAACACCGGUGGCGAAAGCGGCCCUCUGGCCUGUAACUGACACUGAGGCUCGGAAGCGUGGGGAGCAAACAGG
rnacentral:rRNA from 1 species